AUUGACGACGGAGACGGCGAAAUUAUAGGUAAAAACGCGAGAUUUUAGGCAAAUUUGACGAGGAAGACGGGCAUUUUGGGCAAAAACGAGCGAUUUUUAGGCAAACUUGACGAGGAAGACGGACAUUUUGAGCAAAACUCGCAUUUUUAGGCAAACUUGACGAGGAAGACGGGCCAUUUUGAGUAAAAGGAGAGCUGUUUUUCGGCAAACUUGACGAGGAAGACGGACCAACAUUCAUUUUUCCCGCGCGCUAACUCGACUGACGAGGAAGCCGGUCCAAUAAUACAAUUCUGCGCGCGAACUCGACUGACGAGGAAGACGGACCGAUAAUCAUUUCUGCGCGCGCAAACUUUGACUGACGAGGAAGACGGACCAACAAUCAACUCCGCGAGCUCAAACUCAACUGACGGGGAAGACGGACCAACAUUCAUUUUUAUGCGCGCGCGAUCUUGACUGUCUAGGAAGACAGACCGAUAAUUAAUUCUUGCGCGCGCAAACUGACUGACUAGGAAGACAGACCGAUAAUUAAUUCUUGCGCGCGCAAACUUACUAACGAGGAAGACAGACCCGAUAAUUAAUUCAGCGAGCAACAAAAAAAAUACUCAACUGACGAGGAAGACAGAAGUUCAAUUAUAGCGCGCAAAUCUCUAAAGUUUUACGAGAAAGCGAGAACAAAAAAAAAAAAAUAUAA
rnacentral:sRNA from 1 species